UUUUAGCCAGGUAUUCAUAUC
rnacentral:piRNA from 1 species